rnacentral:piRNA from 1 species
UGGACUAUUCGAAUGGAGUGCUCUCUUC